rnacentral:rRNA from 1 species
GGGGGCAAGCGUUGUCCGGAAUCAUUGGGCGUAAAGCGCGUGUAGGCGGCUCAGUAAGGCCGCUCUGAAAGCCCGGGGCUCAACCCCGGGAGGCGGGUGGAUACUGCUGAGCUCGAGUCCGGAAGAGGAGUGUGGAAUUCCUGGUGUAGCGGUGAAAUGCGCAGAUAUCAGGAGGAACACCAAUGGCGAAGGCAGCACUCUGGGACGGUACUGACGCUGAGGCGCGAAAGCGUGGGGAGCGAACAGG